rnacentral:tRNA from 1 species
GGGCACUUGGCACAGUGGUAGCGCGCACGCUUCGCAUCUUGAAUUGCCUGCGUGAGGUCGGGAGUUCAAUCCUCCCAGUGUCCA